AGGGUGCCACUACUAUGGAGACACAGCUGGGCUGAACAAGAUUUGCUUCAAACGACAACAAGAGAGACAGAAAGUAUCUGGUUCAACCGCUGCCCGAGCAGGCAGGCACCAGAAGAGCUAGCAGCCAAUCCGGCCAUGCUCGAAGCCAGCUCUGCAGCUCAGCCAAUCAGUGACAUCAUUGCUUUCUUUAGCUUGCCCAUGGUGAUGUGAAGAUGAGAAGAAAUAGCAAGGCCCAACCAGUUCUUCAUCUGGAGACAGUUCAACGUUCUGCAAACCAGAUCUUCAGGAAUUUUACUGGGAUAAUUAUCCAAAUAAAUUGCAAGCAUUCUAUCCAAAUGGACAUCCAUAAAAAUUCAUCAGAGAGCAUUUUACUACUGAGCUGCAAAGAUAUCUGUGGAUAUCUCUCCAGAACUUCAUGUAUAUGUAAGUGACUUGCUCCCAAUUCUUUCACAUUUUAUCAAUAUCAGCUGUGUUUUGCUUAAAAAAUGAGCCUUACCUAACUAAAAUUUCUACUGUAAUAAAGCAAGUUAAUUGUAGUGAAAUCUAAUUAUCUGUUUACUAUGAUUUCAUUAUAAAUCUUGUGGGUUUUUUUUUCUUACAUUGUCCUUAUGUAUUAGCACCUGUGGUAAGAUAUAUUGAUCACAGUUUCAUCAGAUAGGCAUACUGCUUCAAUAUUGUUUGAAAAAAAUCUUUAUCUUUCAGCUUCAUAUUCUAGGAGGAACCAAAUGUAACAUUUACUUUUCAUUUUGAUUGCAUAUUAACUUGAGGUCAUAAUCUUGCUUUAACAAUCCAUCUCUUCUAAUUAUAGAUAUAGGAGGUAUGGAAGUAUGUGUUUGCCACAGAACAAACCCUGGAUAUAUUUCCAUCUUGCUUAUAAAACUUGUCUUUAUGUAAAUGUUUAAAUAAGAUAUUUUAGGAUAAAUGGUUUUUAUCAUUGCCUAUUAUGUCAUUUUCUAUUAAAAGUGAAUUUUAUACUUAA
rnacentral:lncRNA from 1 species